rnacentral:tRNA from 1 species
GCCAGCGGCGAACUGGCAGACGCACUGGUUUCAGGUACCAGCGCCCGUAAGGUAUCCGGGUUCAACUCCCGGCUUCGGCACCA